rnacentral:rRNA from 1 species
AGUGAACGCUGGCGGUAGGCCUAACACAUGCAAGUCGAACGGCAGCACAGUAAGAGCUUGCUCUUACGGGUGGCGAGUGGCGGACGGGUGAGGAAUACAUCGGAAUCUACUUUUUCGUGGGGGAUAACGUAGGGAAACUUACGCUAAUACCGCAUACGACCUACGGGUGAAAGCAGGGGAUCUUCGGACCUUGCGCGAUUGAAUGAGCCGAUGUCGGAUUAGCUAGUUGGCGGGGUAAAGGCCCACCAAGGCGACGAUCCGUAGCUGGUCUGAGAGGAUGAUCGGCGACACUGGAACUGAGACACGGUCCAGACUCCUACGGGAGGCAGCAGUGGGGAAUAUUGGACAAUGGGCGCAAACCUGAUCCAGUCAUACCGCGUGGGUGAAGAAGGCCUUCGGGUUGUAAAGCCGUUUUGUUGGGAAAGAAAAGCAGCAGCUUAAUACCCAGCUGUUCUGACGGUACCGAAAGAAUAAGCACCGGCUAACUUCGUG